UACAGAGGGUGCGAGCGUUGUUCGGAAUUAUUGGGCGUAAAGCGCGUGUAGGCGGCUUUGCAAGUCGGGUGUGAAAGCCCUCAGCUCAACUGAGGAAGUGCGCCCGAAACUGCGAGGCUUGAGUACCGGAGAGGAUGGCGGAAUUCCCCAAGUAGAGGUGAAAUUCGUAGAUAUGGGGAGGAACACCGGUGGCGAAGGCGGCCAUCUGGACGGAUACUGACGCUGAGACGCGAAAGCGUGGGUAGCAAACAGG
rnacentral:rRNA from 1 species